GUCACUUCAGAAGCACUUAUACUAACAUUAGAAUAAAACUGAGAACAGUAGCAUAAUUUCUGAGCAAGGAUGACAGGAAAGCUCAUGAAGUGUUUCAUUUUUAC
ensembl:snRNA U6 U6 spliceosomal RNA